GACGAACGCUGGCGGCGUGCCUAACACAUGCAAGUCGAACGGAGUUAAGAGAGCUUGCUUUCUUGACUUAGUGGCGAACGGGUGAGUAACGCGUGAGGAAUCUGCCUUUCAGUGGGGGACAACAGUUGGAAACGACUGCUAAUACCGCAUAAGCGCACAGCAUCGCAUGAUGCAGUGCGAAAAACUACCGGCGGUAUGAGAUGGACCCGCGUCUGAUUAGCUAGUUGGUGAGGUAACGGCUCACCAAGGCGACGAUCAGUAGCCGACCUGAGAGGGUGAUCGGCCACAUUGGGACUGAGACACGGCCCAA
rnacentral:rRNA from 1 species